CCUACGGGCGGCAGCAGUGAGGAAUAUUGGUCAAUGGCGCGAGCCUGAACCAGCCAAGUCGCGUGAGGGAAGACGGUCCUAUGGAUUGUAAACCUCUUUUGUCGGGGAGCAAAAGACGCCACGCGUGGCGUUCCGAGAGUACCCGAAGAAAAAGCAUCGGCUAACUCCGUGCCAGCAGCGGAGGUAAUACGGAGGAUGCGAGCGUUAUCCGAAUUUAUUGGGUUUAAAGGGUGCGCAGGCGGAAGAUCAAUUCAGCGGUAAAAUUGAGAGGCUCAACCUCUACGAGCAGUUGAAACUGGUUUUCUUGAGUGAGCGAGAAGUAUGCGGAAUGCGUGGUGUAGCGGUGAAAUGCAUAGAGAUCACGAAGAACUCCGAUUGCGAAGGCAGCAUACCGGCGCUCAACUGACGCUCAUGCACGAAAGUGUGGGUAGCGAACAGGAUUAGAUACCCGAGUAGUC
rnacentral:rRNA from 1 species